rfam:Trabulsiella guamensis ATCC 49490 GTGT.assembly.106, whole genome shotgun sequence.
CCCCAAACACUGUGCGGGGCGCGUAUUCUGAAUUGCAACCAAGGGGUCUGCUCGUG